rnacentral:snoRNA from 1 species
GACCAGGGUGAUGACGUCUUCUAUUGCGAAUAUGAGUAUGACAUACACUGGCACAGUUUUAAAAGAAUAGACGAGAUU